UGUGGCUAGUUUUGGAAAGCCCUGUCAUUUGAAAUUACAAUCACAGGACAGAGUCAGGUGCUAUUAGCUAUGGAAGUGACAGUUGAAAAUGCUAGUCUGAUCAAGUAUGUACAGAAGAUGAUUUUUGACUGGCUGACUCCAUCAUCCCACUGCUAACCUGUCUACCCUAACAAGCUCCUGGAAUCCAGAACUUCUCUAACAUGAGGCUGUGAUUGCUCCAGCCUUCAUCUUGCUGCUUAUUCAAUAAAAUUGUAUUUGCAGAAGGACUCAUCUGGUGUAAAAAGAAAUUUCAUGAAAGCUGCCUUAGAAAGGGCAAGACUGAAUUCAUCCCAGAAGGAAAAUGUCAGAGUAAUUUGUAUCAUUCACUAGUCUGCCGUGUCACUUUUAUUCCUUUGCUUUUGGUAGAUCAGUGCCCCCAAAUCAGUGUUUUCCUUUCAUGUAAAGUAGAGUGACAGAAUUUAUCGACAAAUUGGAAAGAGUUCAGAGGAUAGCUGAAGAGAUAAUGAAGGCAAUGGCACUCUGAAGCAAAAAGUCCAGGAUGAAAGAGAUAAGCAGCAUUGCAGUGACCAAGGAUUUGCCUGGGUGAGUGGGGGGGACUAUGCAUAUCUGAAUGAGUUACCCAAUAGUUAGCAGUACUGAUAUGCUUCUGUGAACUAUUUCUAAACAACAGGCAAAUGCCUUCAAGAAAGAAGAGACCUUUUCCAGUCCAUGAAUGCUACAUUAAAAAACCUUGAACUUUU